rnacentral:rRNA from 1 species
ACGAACGCUGGCGGCGUGCCUAAUACAUGCAAGUAGAACGCUGAAGAGAGAGCUUGCUCUUCUUGAAUGAGUUGCGAACGGGUGAGUAACGCGUAGGUAACCUGCCUUGUAGCGGGGGAUAACUAUUGGAAACGAUAGCUAAUACCGCAUAACAAUGGGUGACACAUGUCAUUUAUUUGAAAGGGGCAAUUGCUCCACUACAAGAUGGACCUGCGUUGUAUUAGCUAGUAGGUGAGGUAACGGCUCACCUAGGCGACGAUACAUAGCCGACCUGAGAGGGUGAUCGGCCACACUGGGACUGAGACACGGCCCAGACUCCUACGGGAGGCAGCAGUAGGGAAUCUUCGGCAAUGGGGGCAACCCUGACCGAGCAACGCCGCGUGAGUGAAGAAGGUUUUCGGGUCGUAAAGCUCUGUUGUAAGUCAAGAACGAGUGUGAGAGUGGAAAGUUCACACUGUGACGGUAGCUUACCAGAAAGGGACGGCUAACUACGUG